CGACUGCAGGCCUUUGUCACUGGCAACUCAGAAACCAGUGACUAAAUCACCUAUGGCACCAUGAAAUGUCCCAAGAGGUUUUGUGGCCAUGUGGAACGAGGCCACCGCCAGCAACUGCAGCCGUGAUGAGAGUCCAGUUCUUCAUUUCCACGAAAGGCAAGUUGAGUGGGGGAAGAGACGGCGGGGCAGGAUGGCAAGAAGCCAGAUGCUCCACACGGCAGCGCCUGGCUUCCCACCUCGGAACCUAGACACAUGAAGCUCACUGCCCGGGGGACAGCACUUCUGCCAGGGCAGCACCACCGUGGCUUCGCCAGCUGGCCAGCAGGUCUUCCUGCUCACCGUCGUCCCUGGAGGGUCUCAACA